rnacentral:lncRNA from 1 species
CAGGAGUGUUGCCAGAACACUGUACAAAUUGUUGAAAUGAAAAGUUGGAGAGGUGUUUAAAGAUGCAUCUGAGGGAGGUGAGGGCUUAAGAGAGACAUAGUUAUUUUGUUCUGUCAUUUUGGCCUCAGCCUGAAUCCUGCAUGCAACAUCAGGUUGUCUUUCCUUAGGACUGAGCCUGGAAUACAAGGAUGAGACAACCUGGCAUGCCCUGAGGUGGCCUGGAGCACUGACCUUCUUCCCAAGGACUGCCAGAGCUACUGUGCUGAAGUUCAAACUUUUUAUGGACUAGUGAUUUUCCUGUGUUACUGCCAGCAAUCUUAAACACUCUGGAUAUUCUGGCUGCAAAUCAAGCUGUCUGUGUAAAUAUAUUCCUGAUGAUUUUGAACCAGUAGGAGAAACAUACUUGACAAAACCAAAGAAAAAUCUUCGAAGGAAAAGCUCUGUCCUGACUGUUUUUCUGUUAUAAAGAAAUUUUGUAUAAACUUCACAGUGAAGCUCUUGGAAAUCCUACUGAGAGACUGGAAAUCAUCUCCUAAUGGAGCUUACAAAAGAACAGAUACUACAGGGAUUUUAUUUUCUGGUGAUGAAUAAGAGUUCAGUGGAAUGGAAAACAAUUUUUCUUAAGCGUUACUGGAGGCCAUCAAACAGCAAGAAGGAAUAAUUUGUCUGCUGCUGCAUGUUCAGCAGAAUUUAAAGGUAUCUAUAAAAAAACCCAGGUGUAGUGAUAAACCUAGAUUCCCC